rnacentral:lncRNA from 1 species
GUUACUUUCUCAGCUGUAACCAGGAGGCAGGGAAGAAGGCAAUGCAGUCCUCAUUCUUUAGAGACUCAACCUGUGUCCCCAGCCCUCCCCACCUCCUCCCACACCCCCCUCCAAACUCAGCUUGGCUGGGAAAGGAAACUCCCCAGUCUGCUGUGCUCCUGCAAGCUGAGUGUUUGCAGGUGAAUCUACUCCAGGCCGUGAGCGCCCCAGAGGUGGGAACUAUAUCUUAGUCACCCUUGUACUUUCAAGCCUCACAAUGGGACCUGCCGAAAAAAGGGCACUCAGUAAACGUCUUGUGAACGCAUGAAUUGGGCAGCUGUUGGUGUACGUGUUUUGUUUCUGAUGCUGAGACCCUUCCUGAACCGGAUCUCCAUCCCUUCACUGAGCAGGGUUCACACAUAUUUAUGUUGGAGUGCAAAGGCUUCCGAUGCCCGGACACGUGUCCUCCAAUCUGAGAAGGGAACCAGGGAAGGGGCUGGAGUUGAUGCAUCUUGACUUAAGGGCUGAAGAGUUGGCAAUUUUGGAGGCCAGUGAAGAGCCACGUAGAAAAUGUCCCGCUGCCUGCCAUCAUCAGCAGCUCCUCUUGCUCCCAUCCUGCAGAGAGGGCUCCCACACAGAGAGCAGACACAGGGACCUCUUUAAAAUGAAGAUGAAAUGCACCUGGUUCUACCACCUAGUUAGAAGCAGUUAUGAAGGUUGAAGAGCUGUUAUCUGAGAUUUAUAGCCCCAAAUCUAUGAGAUAGACUCUCCUAAUUAAUAAGACAAGGAUGACUAGAAAGUUGUGAAAACUACCUGGCAGGGCUUGGAGCCUGCUGUCACCACCACGAUGAUAGCACUGUCUUUGCUGCUGAGCCUAUUAGAAUGUCAGGAUGUGCAUUCUUCUCUCCUAGUGGGAUGGCACGGUUCACCUGGCUAUUACAGAGAAGCAAGUGCAGAUCGUGACUUAAGGCUCCGGGAGGAGAGUUAAUCAGGGAAGAGCUGGUUGACAAGACUCACUCAGUGCAUGACUUGAGAGCACCAAGAGGGGGAAAGGGAGAAGAAAGAACCUCUUCCAAAGGCAGCAUCCACCCCCUUGACAAAGGGCCAUUUCCCCCAGCCCGGGGUGCUUUCUGACUUCCUUUGUUCCCCGAUGAGCAUUUUCUUCCUUGUCCCCAGCCUUCACAUAAGUUCAAUUCAACAUCCUCUCUCUCUUCUCCCAAUGUCCUCUCCUUAAUUUUGCUGCAUCCUCCAAUGUGAAUGUUUGCCUCCUGGUCUGGGAUCUGUCUUAUUCCCUUUAUCUCACCUGAAAAAACUCUCCCCUUUAAUCUCUGCUCAUUCAAGUCCUGCCCAUCCUUCAAAGUAUGGCCAAGCUCACCUCUUCCAGAAAGCCCCACCCUGUGGUGUUAUCUCCAUCCUGAAUCACAGCAGCACUUACUGUGAGAUAACUAUCAGGUUACAUCUAUCAGAGUUCAAUGCACUCUCCCCAAAUGAAGUGGACACUUGUUGGCAGUAAGAAGAGAAGCUUUUUGCACCAAGUGGUGCAUUCAAUGCAAUGCAAGGAGACUGUGACGAUACUGAAAUGAGUAUUACCCGGCCCCAGGAGAUGAACACCGUCCUUGCUUGAUGCCAGUUCAUAAAGAGAGCUCUUGUUUAUUGAGAGCUUAUGAGUGCUGAGGAAUUCACAUAAAUCAUCUCAUCUAAAUUUUCCAACAAUCAUGAGAUGGUUUCUCUUAUUUCCUCCUUUUACGCAUGAAGAAACUGGGGCUCAGGAGGUUAGAUGACUUUCUCAGAGUCACACAGAUAGUACAGGGCUGACCCAGAAUUCAAGCCCAGGUCUGGCAGACUCCAGCACCCGCCCUUUGCCUCCACGACCAAGUACAAGCAGCAGGCUGGCACUGGCCUUUCCCUGCUAUGACUGCCGAGCUGGGUUACACCUGCUGCUGGUCCCCAGCACCAGGCACACGACGUAACUGUGAGUCCUCCGAGUAUGUGAGGGAGCUGGCACUCACCUUCUGCCUGAAGCAAAGGAGCUGUGCUCUUCCGUUUCAGUGUGAAAAAGCCUCAGAAGAUGCCCAGCUUAGAAGGACACAAGAGACAGUCUGUGGACAACAUCUCCACUUCCUGGCGUCCUCAGCACUGUUGCUAGUGAAGCUACUCUGCCCAAGGUCUCCAGAGAGCUUCUGAAAGAAGUCAGGACUCAUGCAUGCAGAUGAAUACGCCUCGUGGGUAUUCACCAGGUCCUCUUGGGAAGCCAGCUCUGUGUCCCAGGCACACCGUCUGUGUGCAAGAGAAGGGGAGCACCUGAGUUUGGGAACUGCUUUCGUACCAGCUUAUAGGCCACCCCAAGAACCGGCCUCCUGGCUUCCUAGUCACAGACCGCCUGCAGGGUUGACUUAUGCAUCCUUUUGCAGGAGACAGGCUCACUUCUCUCCUGUGACUAACAUGGAAUUACGGGUUAAGGAGGGAAGUUGUACUCACCUGUUGAUUCAUUUAUUCACUCACUUGCUCACUCAUCAAUCAUUUCUUCAACAAUGAAACCCUUACUAGACAAAUACUGACUCCCUGCUCCAGAAUAACUAUCUGUUCGGUGCUAGGACUGUCAAAUGAGUAAGCGUUUCUUCCCACAGGCGUUCAGGGUCUAUUUCUGCACUUUACAGACAGGCAAGACAGAAGUGAUCAGAAGCGGCCACCAACCAUGGAGUUCAGAAACACGGCACAGUUCUGGAAGAGGCGAAAGGCGGCUCUUCCAUCCAUGCUGGUCAAGAGGAAAUUCAACACACCUCACAGCCAUUGAAUCUGACCAGGCGUGUAAUACAUCCCAUCGUCUUGUCAGUUAGCAGCUGUGGGACCUUGAAGGCUUCUUAAAUUCCCCAAGUCUAGACUUUCUUAUCUUUAAAAUGCAGCUGAAAACAAUGCCUGUCUCAUGGAGGUGUAAGGGUUAAAUGGAAUCAUGUAGCAAGCAUUCAGCACAUGUCAAGUCCAGGUCAAGGCCAACAUGCAGGGGCAGGGAGAGGUGUAACCUCUUUCAGUUUGGAGCCAUGCAGGACCCUGCCAUUUGCAGCCCUUUGGGGUAAGACUGUAGCCCCCAAACAUCCUGCUGCCCCAGAGCAGUGGCCCAGCAGGUGCACUGAGAGCUCUGGUGCACCUGGCAUGCCCCGACUCCUCACACAGCAGCAACAGGGACAGUGACAGGGACCUGAGAUGGGGUGGCCCACCUGGCUGGCAGCUGGCACUGGGCACAUUGCCCAGAAGUUGGGGAGUUCUCAGGUAGGGGCAGAGGUGGGUGUUUGAGGGAGCAGUUAGCAGCACUGUCUGCUGUGGCAGGGGUCUCCUGGGUAAGGUCAGAGGGAUUCGAGGAGGCCCAGGGAUCACCCCAGGGUGGGGUGGGACGCUGCUCAAGUCACAAAGCAAAGUUGCAGGGUGUAGGGGAGGGGAUGGGACUGUUAGUCUAAUUGUGACUCAUCUCUCCUUAUUUUUCUCCUUAUCUCUUGUAUUUAUUUUUUUCAAUCCUCCCAAGUUACUGGGCCUUGAGGACACUCCUAGUGUGUGUGUGUGUGUGUGUGUGUGUGUAUGUGUGUGUGUGUGUGUAUUUCUAUAUAUAUAAUUUUUCUUUUUUUUGAGACAGAGUUUCGCUCUUGUUGCUCAGGUGGAAGUGCAAUGGUGCGAUCUCAACUCACUGCAACCUGCAUCUCCUGGGAUCGCUUGAGCCCAGGAAGUCGAGGCUGCAGUGAGCCAUGAUCAUAUUUGCCAGCCUGGGUGACAGAGCAAGACCAUCUCAAAGAACGUAUUUACCGAAUGAAGUUUUAUGAUGUUCUCUAGCACUUUUUAGUUUAUUGUCUUUAAAAAGAAACCCUCUGAAGUGUCUCUGGAGAAUACAAACGCAUGCGCGCAUGCACACGCUGGGAACAGGAGCUGCUUCAGUAGGUAACUGAGUGGGAGGGAGGUUAGCUUUUCACUGUGACCCUUAUCUGUACACCUGCUAACUCAAAAUAAUUUAAUAACAACAACAAUGACAAUAAAAAGGGAGUGAGUGCUCUCAUUUUA